UACAGAGGUCUCAAGCGUUGUUCGGUUCAUUGGGCGUAAAGGGUGCGUAGGCGGCGCGGUAAGUCGGGUGUGAAAUCUCGGAGCUUAACUCCGAAACUGCAUUCGAUACUGCCGUGCUUGAGGACUGGAGAGGAGACUGGAAUUUACGGUGUAGCGGUGAAAUGCGUAGAUAUCGUAAGGAAGACCAGUGGCGAAGGCGGGUCUCUGGACAGUUCCUGACGCUGAGGCACGAAGGUCAGGGGAGCAAACGGG
rnacentral:rRNA from 1 species